rnacentral:rRNA from 1 species
CCUACGGGUGGCAGCAGUGAGGAAUAUUGGUCAAUGGCCGUAAGGCUGAACCAGCCAAGUCGCGUGAAGGAAUAAGGAUCUAUGGUUUGUAAACUUCUUUUAUAGGGGAAUAAAGGUAUCCACGUGUGGAUAUUUGCAUGUACCCUAUGAAUAAGCAUCGGCUAACUCCGUGCCAGCAGCAGCGGUAAUACGGAGGAUGCGAGCGUUAUCCGGAUUUCUUGGGUUUAAAGGGUGCGUAGGUUGUUUUUUAAGUCAGCGGUGAAAGUUUGUGGCUCAACCAUAAAAUUGCCGUUGAAACUGGCAGACUUGAGUGUGUUUGAGGUAGGCGGAAUGCGUGGUGUAGCGGGGAAAUGCAUAGAUAUCACGCAGAACUCCGAUUGCGAAGGCAGCUUACUAGGCCAUAACUGACACUGAAGCACGAAAGCGUGGGGAUCAAACAGGAUUAGAUACCCGGGUAGUC